rnacentral:rRNA from 1 species
GACGAACGCUGGCGGCGUGCCUAAUACAUGCAAGUAGGACGCAGUUGCGAACGGGUGAGUAACGCGUAGGUAACUACCUAUUAGAGGGGGAUAACUAUUGGAAACGAUAGCUAAUACCGCAUACUAGUAGAUGGACCUGCGUUGUAUUAGCUAGUAGGUAGGGCAAUGGCCUACCUAGGCAACGAUACAUAGCCGACCUGAGAGGGUGAUCGGCCACACUGGGACGGGGAAACGGCGCAGACUCCUACGGGAGGCAGCAGUAGGGAAUCUUCGGCAAUGGGGGGAAACCUGACCGAGCAACGCCGCGUGAGUGAAGAAGGUUUUCGGAUCGUAAAGCUCUGUUGUUAAGGAAGCGGUACUUAACCAGAAAGGGACGGCUAACUACGUGCCAGCCGCCGCGGUAAUUC